CACUGAGGAGAGAAGUGAUCGAACCAUCGAGCUGGGGAGGCGAUGUCCCUACAGGAGGGACGGGAAGAGAGAGACUCUUCUUAGGAGGGGUAGUUCCAUUGAAAUCAACGGAACACCUCUUAUGAAUAGUACUGAUCCAAGUGGGAUUGCCCCUUAAGACUUUGCUCCAGGACUGCCAGGCUGGACUCCAGGACUGACCAAUAGAAUGUGAGAGGUUUCUUUUAUUCACAGUUUUUAAAUCUCAUUGAAACAGAUGGCGAAAUCCUUUGUUAUACAAGAUUACAAUUAAUCCUUAAACCUGGAAUAGAGGGAAG
rnacentral:lncRNA from 1 species